rnacentral:tmRNA from 1 species
GGGGGUGAUCGGUUUCGACGGUGGUCCUGUCACCAGGGGAAGCGGGCCGAGGACGCACGGUUAUCUCGUUAACGAUCCGCGCAAACCAAUAGGUGCCAACUCCAAGAGCACCGACCUCGCCCUCGCCGCCUGAGCGAGCGCAUAGGUCCGUCAGCCUGAGGUAGUUCUCGACUCAGUGUCUGGCGUCAGCUAGAGAACUUGCUGCGCAGUCAUGCCGAGGGGCUGCGUGGGACUCUUACUCGGCUGGGCCUGUCAGGGAACGCGUGCGUGCGAGCCCUGGGGCCGAGAAACUCCAUAGCGCACUGCGCCCGGAGAAGUCCUGGUCUCAUGUCAUCGGACGCGGGUUCGAUUCCCGCCACCUCCACUC